rnacentral:lncRNA from 1 species
AUAUAUAUAUAUAUAUAUAUAUAUAUAUAUAUAUAUAUUAGUGCAUUAUCUACCUAUACAAUGGGAAUUUGAGCAAUUAUUGGCCACUCUUCCAGUGAACAACCAAUACAGUGCAUACACAAUCGUUAAGUUGAGAUCAGAUAAUCAAUGAGCUAGAAUAGCUAAUUGUCACCAAAAUCCUGACAAGGAAAGAAAGACGAUCGUUAAGUUGAGAUCAGAUAAUCAUACAAAAUAGCAUUAACAUUAUGCUGAUGCUUUUAGAUGUUAAAUUAUGGAAUACAAACUUUCUGUCGUAUAUGCCUUUGAACUGCCAGUAGAAAUAUCAAAGUUCAAGAGAUAACAUUUGCGUUACUCCAUAACCACCACCUCCUUCCUCAACUCACUGUAAAAAGAGAAACAACAAAAAAAUAACAUGAAUUUCUGUUGAGGUGAAACUUCAAGCAAUACUUAGACUAAACAAAAUUGUCAAGUAAGAUUGACUCAUAUUUCAAAUGACUAUGCACAUCUGGCUAACAUAUAUGUGCAUGACAUAACGUAAUGUUUAUAUCUUUAGUUCAAAUCUCUGAAUAUUCAAAACAAAAAUUGAUGUUUUAACUAUUAUGCUAUACUGAUAAAAUCUUAGUAUUUGCUAUCAAAUGUAGUCGCAUCAACUUGAAAUGAAUUUGAUAUAACAUGUGUGUUUAAAUAACGGAAGCACUCAUUCAAAAUCUAUCCAAUCCCUUUAAAUCUCAAGCUU